GUUGAACGCUGGCGGCAUGCCUUACACAUGCAAGUCGAACGGCAGCACGGGUGCUUGCACCUGGUGGCGAGUGGCGAACGGGUGAGUGAUACAUCCGAACGUACCUUAUCGUGGGGGAUAACGCAGCGAAAGCUGUGCUAAUACCGCAUACGCCCUGAGGGGGAAAGCGGGGGAUCGAAAGACCUCGCGCGAUUAGAGCGGCCGAUGCCUGAUUAGCUUGUUGGUGGGGUAAAAGCCCACCAAGGCGACGAUCAGUAGCUGGUCUGAGAGGACGAUCAGCCACACUGGGACUGAGACACGGCCCAGACUCCUACGGGAGGCAGCAGUGGGGAAUUUUGGACAAUGGGGGCAACCCUGAUCCAGCAAUGCCGCGUGAGUGAAGAAGGCCUUCGGGUUGUAAAGCUCUUUUGUCAGGGAAGAAACACCGGCUCUAACACAGUCCGGGAAUGACGGUACCUGAAGAAUAAGCACCGGCUAACUACGUGCCAGCCGCCGCCGUAA
rnacentral:rRNA from 1 species